rnacentral:sRNA from 1 species
UUUUAGCCCUGAUGAUAAUGACAUCCUUUUUCUUUUAAAUACAAAGAAAAAGAUAAAAUGAACAGCAGGAACAUGG